GACGUAGGGCGCGAGCGUUGUCCGGAUUUAUUGGGCGUAGAGAGCUCGUAGGCGGCUUGUCGCGUCGACUGUGAAAUCCCGCGGCUCAACUGCGGGUCUGCAGUCGAUACGGGCAGGCUAGAGUUCGGUAGGGGAGACUGGAAUUCCUGGUGUAGCGGUGAAAUGCGCAGAUAUCAGGAGGAACACCGGUGGCGAAGGCGGGUCUCUGGGCCGAUACUGACGCUGAGGAGCGAAAGCGUGGGGAGCGAACAGG
rnacentral:rRNA from 1 species